rnacentral:tRNA from 3 species
GUGGCUAUGGUGUAACGGCAGCACAGGAGUUUGUGGAGCUCCUAGAGGCGGUUCGAAUCCGCUUAGCCACCCA